rnacentral:rRNA from 1 species
AUGGAUCCCCUUCCCCUACACACAAUCAUCUGGCUUGUUUGUUGGUCAUUUUGGUUAUUCCCGUUCUGUGCAUCAUCCGGCAGCCGCCUUCUUCCCGACAAGCCGCUUUCUGUUGGAAGCACCAUCACCUCCGAUGACGGCACUUUUGCCCUGGGAUUCUUCUCCCUGUCCAGCUCCAGCACAAAACAUUACUACGUCGGCAUAUGGUACAAGAACAUACCCGAAGACAACUUUGUGUGGGUUGCCAACCGUGCUAUGCCCAUAACUGAUCCUUCUUCUGCAACACUCGCGUUCACAAGCGGAUCCAAUCUCGCCUUGUCAGACACCAAAGGUAUGAACCUCACGAUCACCCACAAGACGCAUGCACUAAAACGGCUCAUCUCUUGGAGAAGCCCCCAAGACCCGUCCCCAGGCAACUUCUCAUCUGGUGCAGACCCUGAUGAGUUUCGACAGCGUUUUAUAUGGAAUGGCUCAACCCCAUACCUGCGAGGUUCAAUAUGGAACAACAAUUUGGUAAUUGGACAGUAUGUCGAGAGUAUCAAGUCCACAAUUUACUAUAGACUGCUUACUAUUGAUGAUGAGGUCUACGCUUCCUUUGGACUGCCGCCACCAAGUGUCGCAUUAGUGCAAAUGAAGAUUGACUACUCAGGCAAGAUAAAAACACGAGUCUGGAAUAGCAACAUGUCCAAAUGGACUGACCUGUGGUCAGGACCUAACCACGAAUGCAACAAAUUUGGUUAUUGUGGUCCAUUUGGUUACUGCGACAACACGCAGCCUAUUGUGACAUGCAAGUGUCUUGAUGGCUUUGAGCCAAACAACAAACAAGACUGGACGGCCAGCAGGUUUUCACAGGGAUGUCACCGAAUGGAAGCAAUUACAUGUGGUCAAGGGGAUGGCUUCUUAAAUAUGUCAACCAUGAAGAUUCCCAGCCAGUUCUUGUAUGUCAAGAAUAGAAGCUUAGAUGAAUGCAUAGCAGAAUGCACCAGCAACUGCUCCUGCACGGCCUUUACUUACACCAAUAUGAGCAUUGAUGCUAUCAAUGGGGAUGAAACUAGGUGCCUAUUAUGGACCAGAGAUUUGAUCGACAUGGAGAAGCUCAUUGGACAAGGGGAAACCCUCUAUAUCCGGGUUAAUGGAUUGAGUGAUAAAAAGCGGAAGAGCAUUGUUUUAAAAAUUACACUGCCAGUCGUGUCAAGUUUGCUCAUAGUCAUAUGUGUGUGGCUUGUUUGGAUCUGCAACUUGGGAGGCAAACAAAAAAACAAGAAAAAUUUGAAGAAGGUGAUGUCAGGAACUUCGAGCACUUCUGUUGAACUUCACGAUGGAAACUUAAAGUAUCCUUUUAUAAGCUUCAAAGAAAUUGUACUUGCAACAAACAAUUUCUCUAACUCCAACAUGCUUGGACAUGGAGGUUUUGGCAAUGUUUACAAGGGGACAUUAGAAGAUGGUACAAAAAUUGCUGUGAAAAGGCUUAGUAAGGGUUCUGGCCAGGGGGUAAUGGAGUUCAGAAAUGAAGUAAUACUCAUUGCGAAGUUGCAGCACCAAAACUUGGUUAGACUUCUAGGUUUCUGCAUCCAUGGAGAUGAGAAACUAUUGAUAUAUGAAUAUUUACCUAACAAGAGUCUAGACGCCAUGCUUUUCGAUGCCACAAGAAAAUCAAUGCUUGAUUGGCCGAUGAGAUUCGAGAUAAUCAAAGGGGUAGCUAGAGGACUUCUUUAUCUUCAUCAAGAUUCAAGGCUGAAGAUAAUUCACAGGGAUCUCAAAGCAAGCAACAUAUUAUUAGAUGCCGAAAUGAGCCCUAAGAUAUCUGAUUUUGGUAUGGCAAGGAUAUUUGGUGGCAAUCAGCAGCAAGAAAAUACCAACCGUGUCGUUGGCACAUACGGUUACAUGUCCCCUGAAUAUGUUUUGAAAGGAGUGUUUUCUGUCAAGUCUGAUGUAUAUAGCUUUGGAGUUUUACUACUGGAGAUUGUGAGUGGCUCAAAGAUCAGCUCUGUGCACCUAAAAGCAGACUUCAGCAGCAUUAUAGCCUAUGCAUGGAGCUUAUGGAAGGAUGGGAACACACAGGAUUUUGUUGACUCGUCAAUUGUGGGGAGCUGCUCACUUAAUGAAACUUCACGGUGCAUCCAUAUCGGACUCUUAUGUGUUCAAGGCAGACCAAAUGCGCGGCCACUAGUGUCAUCAAUCGUGUCCUUCCUGGAAAAUGGAGAUAUAUCCCUUCCAACUCCAAAAGAGCCCAUGUAUUUUGCAGAAGAUAACUAUGGUACUGAUGGAGCAGCAGAAAAUACUGCAAAGUCUGCAAAUAACAUGAGCAUUACAGUACUGGAGGGACGCUAG